AUAGGAAAGAAAAUACAGUCCCUUAUGCCAAGUUUUAGUAUGCCUUAACAAGUCCUAACUGAACAGUGUAACUUAGAACGAACAAAUACCUUUACUGAUGACUGUGGACUAGGUAAAUAUUGAAUGCUAAAGAAAACCACAGGCAUGCCCCUCUAAGCCUGGGAACUUUAUAAAAGCCCUGAUGUUCUCAACAAAACUCUCCUGUUACAUACAAUCUGCCUGACUUCAGAGACACUGGCUUAUAAGCUUUAUCACCUCAGGUGGCUUUUGUUGGUUUGUUUUUCCCCAUAGAGGGGAAAAUAUUGCUCUCAAGAUAUUAUACUACUACUGAUUUAAUAGGUCUGGGUUUAAUGUGAUGUACAGUGUUCGUCUUGAUGAACUCUGUCCCUAGGACAGGAUUGUACUUCAUUUUGGUGACGAACAGGAGCACCGAAAAUUAACAAAAAUGUAGCCCCAUUUCAUGAAAAGUAGUUGCAGAGAUGGUCCUGUACUUUCUAUUCUGGCAAAAGCCACUUAGGGGAAAGGAGAUUUACUAUCUCAUCUAUUUCAAAUUGCAUUUGGCUGAAACAUGAUAUAUAAAUUGUCAGUUCUGAAAAGGGACUUUUGAAAAAGCAUUUAAAUUCAUGAUUUGUUUUUGAGACAAUGGGGUGAUCUGUAGGUAUUUUCAGACAGUGGGUACAUUUAGGGAUUUUUCUAUUCUUUUUUUAAAAAUCAAACUACUAAAACCAUAAUUCCUGUAUACACACCUUGUAGGGCAGUGCUAAAGACUAUCCACAGCUACGGUUCUCGGGAACAAAUGGAGGCCACUGCCUCAAGUGGUCUGGUCAGAUUUAGUCAUCUUCAUGCAGUUUAUCAAUGACUGCUGCUUCAUGCUUUGUCCCUUAACAAAAUUACUUUAAUAUUCAAGGAAGUGCCCAAGUAUAAAUUAAUGUUUCCAAAUUAGAUGGCAUAGGGCUAGCCACAUUUGAAAAUGGUAAUUUUCAAUUUUUCAGACUUGUUAGACUCCUGAGAUGUGUCAAAAGGCACAAAGGAUGACACACUGGUGACAACAGCUCAACUCUGUUCAGAUGCUCUUCUAAGCAGAGAGCAGAACUAAUGAGCUCUGUCAGUCUUGCUGCAAAUGGAUUUGGGGGAUCAUUGUGGGGGUUAGCUGCGAGGAGCGAGACUGGAAGACAGAGGUUGCUAUUUCAAGCACCACAAGUUCUCACGGUGCAAGUGAUGAAGGAGGGAAGGAGGCCCCACUGAGAAUACUGACAGCAGAGGAAACGUCCAUGUAGACAGGCAGGAAGAACAAGAUGGCGAACCAGGGUCCGGUGGCCCUGAGGCCUUUACAGCCUGGCUAAACCUCUCACAUUCGAGUUCUGUAAGACUUCUCAAAGAUCAGCUCAAGAGCCGACGACAGUUAGACAAUAGUAGAGACUCUAUAACACUGUCAAAACUACAGUGCAGUCCACUGCUUGUCUACUUGCAGUUUCGAGUUCUGUGAGAUUCCUGAGCAGCAGACACACAACAAAUACGUGACAGCUAGAGAGAAAUAAAUAACAUGUUCCCCAUUAAAAAGAAAAAACUGGCAAUCU
rnacentral:lncRNA from 1 species